rnacentral:ncRNA from 1 species
CAUAAACCUAUGAAGAGGCUAGUAACAGAAUAGAUAUUUUAGAGAGUCAACGGUUGGUGAAAGUUGAUAAUAUUUAUUUUGAGAAUCCACCUCUAAGGGACUGUGAUGAGCAGUACGGUGAAUACCGUUAUAUUAUUAAAGAGGACUAGAUUUUCUAGUCAAUUAGGGUGGCAACGCGGAGUCUUUCGUCCCUUUA